rnacentral:rRNA from 1 species
GACGAACGCUGGCGGCACGCUUAACACAUGCAAGUCGAACGAGAGCCUCGGAGCUUGCUCCGAGGGGACAGUGGCGAACGGGUGAGUACCACGUGAGGAACCUGCUCCGAAGACCGGAAUAACACCGGGAAACCGGUGCUAAUACCGGAUGCCCUCACCGGACCGCAUGGUUCGGUGAGGAAAUGGGUUCCGCUUCGGGAUGGCCUCGCGGCCUAUCAGCUUGUUGGUGGGGUAACGGCCUACCAAGGCUUCGGCGGGUAGCUGGUCUGAGAGGAUGUCCAGCCAAACUGGGACUGAGACACGGCCCAGACUCCUACGGGAGGCAGCAGUGGGGAAUCUUGCGCAAUGGACGAAAGUCUGACGCAGCGAUGCCGCGUGCGGAAUGAAGGCCCUCGGGUUGUAAACCGCUUUCAGCAGGGACGAAAUUGACGGUACCUGCAGAAGAAGCCCCGGCCAACUACGUGCCAGCAGCCGCCGUAAUAC